AGAGUUUGAUCCUGGCUCAGAUUGAACGCUGGCGGCAGGCCUAACACAUGCAAGUCGAACGGUAACAGGAAGCAGCUUGCUGCUUCGCUGACGAGUGGCGGACGGGUGAGUAAUGUCUGGGAAGCUGCCUGAUGGAGGGGGAUAACUACUGGAAACGGUAGCUAAUACCGCAUAAUGUCGCAAGACCAAAGAGGGGGACCUUCGGGCCUCUUGCCAUCGGAUGUGCCCAGAUGGGAUUAGCUUGUUGGUGGGGUAACGGCUCACCAAGGCGACGAUCCCUAGCUGGUCUGAGAGGAUGACCAGCCACACUGGAACUGAGACACGGUCCAGACUCCUACGGGAGGCAGCAGUGGGGAAUAUUGCACAAUGGGCGCAAGCCUGAUGCAGCCAUGCCGCGUGUAUGAAGAAGGCCUUCGGGUUGUAAAGUACUUUCAGCGGGGAGGAAGGGAGUAAAGUUAAUACCUUUGCUCAUUGACGUUACCCGCAGAAGAAGCACCGGCUAACUCCGUGCCAGCAGCCGCGGUAAUACGGAGGGUGCAAGCGUUAAUCGGAAUUACUGGGCGUAAAGCGCACGCAGGCGGUUUGUUAAGUCAGAUGUGAAAUCCCCGGGCUCAACCUGGGAACUGCAUCUGAUACUGGCAAGCUUGAGUCUCGUAGAGGGGGGUAGAAUUCCAGGUGUAGCGGUGAAAUGCGUAGAGAUCUGGAGGAAUACCGGUGGCGAAGGCGGCCCCCUGGACGAAGACUGACGCUCAGGUGCGAAAGCGUGGGGAGCAAACAGGGUUAGAUACCCUGGUAGUCCACGCCGUAAACGAUGUCGACUUGGAGGUUGUGCCCUUGAGGCGUGGCUUCCGGAGCUAACGCGUUAAGUCGACCGCCUGGGGAGUACGGCCGCAAGGUUAAAACUCAAAUGAAUUGACGGGGGCCCGCACAAGCGGUGGAGCAUGUGGUUUAAUUCGAUGCAACGCGAAGAACCUUACCUGGUCUUGACAUCCACGGAAGUUUUCAGAGAUGAGAAUGUGCCUUCGGGAACCGUGAGACAGGUGCUGCAUGGCUGUCGUCAGCUCGUGUUGUGAAAUGUUGGGUUAAGUCCCGCAACGAGCGCAACCCUUAUCCUUUGUUGCCAGCGGUCCGGCCGGGAACUCAAAGGAGACUGCCAGUGAUAAACUGGAGGAAGGUGGGGAUGACGUCAAGUCGUCAUGGCCCUUACGACCAGGGCUACACACGUGCUACAAUGGCGCAUACAAAGAGAAGCGACCUCGCGAGAGCAAGCGGACCUCAUAAAGUGCGUCGUAGUCCGGAUUGGAGUCUGCAACUCGACUCCAUGAAGUCGGAAUCGCUAGUAAUCGUGGAUCAGAAUGCCACGGUGAAUACGUUCCCGGGCCUUGCACUCACCGCCCGUC
rnacentral:rRNA from 1 species